GAUGAACGCUGGCGGCGUGCCUAAUACAUGCAAGUCGAGCGAACAGACGAGGAGCUUGCUCCUCUGACGUUAGCGGCGGACGGGUGAGUAACACGUGGAUAACCUACCUAUAAGACUGGGAUAACUUCGGGAAACCGGAGCUAAUACCGGAUAAUAUAUUGAACCGCAUGGUUCAAUAGUGAAAGACGGCUUUGCUGUCACUUAUAGAUGGAUCCGCGCCGCAUUAUCUAGUUGGUAAGGUAACGGCCUACCAAGGCAACGAUGCGUAGCCGACCUGGGAGGGUGAUCGGCCACACUGGAACUGAGACACGGUCCAGACUCCUACGGGAGGCAGCAGUAGGGAAUCUGCCGCAAUGGGCGAAAGCCUGACGGAGCAACGCCGCGUGAGUGAUGAAGGUCUUCGGAUCGUAAAACUCUGUUAUUAGGGAAGAACAAAUGUGUAAGUAACUAUGCACGUCUUGACGGUACCUAAUCAGAAAGCCACGGCUAACUACGUG
rnacentral:rRNA from 1 species